UCGGCGUGACUCAAUCUUACCGGCGCCUCUAUUCUUAACCUGCCGUUUUUGAACGCUACGGCCGCCGCGUUUUCCCAUACUCCCCACCAGUCCCUCGGUGGUUCGUAUUCCAUUUCUAUUCAUUUCCCAUACUCCCCACCAGUCCCUCGGUGGUUCGUAUUCCAUUUCUAUUCAUUUCCCAUACUCCCCACCAGUUCCUCGGUGGUUCGUAUUUCAAUCAUU
rnacentral:lncRNA from 1 species